AAAGCUUUAAGUUAAAUUAAACUAUUAACCUUCAAAGUUAAAAAUAUAUAUUAUGUAAGCUUUA
rnacentral:tRNA from 1 species